UUCAGAGUGAUAAUGAUUGCAGCAGUAAUGAACGGUUGUACGCGCUGAUUGUUUUGGUUCUUCAUGGUUUCUAAGGUUUAAAGGCAUGAGGGUCCGCUACAGUAAGAGCUUCAUCUUCGCUGGUUCAGAUGCUCGCUGCACGUGCUGACUCACGGUUUCACCGUGACGAUGGUCAAUGGACUGCAGGACUUCGGAAUCGGCGUGAUGGUCUACGGAGCUGAGACACGAACAAGAAUCUGAAAGCCUGCUCCAGACGGGAACAGAAGGUACAAAAGAAAAGGAUAUAAAAGGUUUUGAAAGCAUGCCUCCUGCUUGUGAGACCACACCCACUCAUUCUUUUGUUCUAGCAGACAUCCGAGUGGAGCAGAACGUGUUGAUAGCUGGGGAAUGAAUUUGGCCAGGUAUGUGACCAUUCCAAGGAAUCUUCUCGCUUCCUCUGUACUUUGUGGCAUGUUGUCUAUUGCUGAUGUUUUUUUUAGGUCUGGCCUAAUGCCUUCUUCAGACCGGACAUCUCCAACGAGAGUUAAGCUCUUAACUGCAAACUCACACUUCUCUUUGUUCAAUUUUCGAUUGGACUGUCCUGUUAGCUCCAGAACCUGCUUCAGUCAUGCAUCAUGUUCCUGCUGGUUGGAACCCCACACAAUUAUGUCAUCCAUCAUAGUCUAUACACCUGGUAGAUGCUCAAAGAUCAUGUGAAUAGUUUUGUGGUAAACUUCUAGUGCUGAGUGAAUGUCAUAAGGGAGACAGAGAAAACAAUAUCUGCCUUCAGGUGUAUUGAAGGUACACAGUUUUUAACUUGCCUCAUCAAGUUUCAUUUGCCAAACCCCAGAUGAUGCAUCCAGCUUGCAGAACCACUUUGAUCCAGUGAACUGAGACAUGAUUUCUUCUCUGGUUGGCAGUUUAAAAUGUUCACGUUUUAUGGCCCUGUUGAGAUCUCUUGGGUCAAGAUAUAUUCUCAAAGCUCCAUUUUUCUUGAGCACAAUAACAAGUGAGCUCACCCAGUCUGUUGGUUCAUCAACUGUCUUUAUAACCUUUAGCUUCUCCAUGUCAGCUAAUUCGUCUUUAAGUUUUCCUCUCAAAGCAAAUGGAACAUUUCUGCAUGCAUGUACAACUGGUGUUAUUGUGUCAUCAACACUUAUUUUAUCCUUCCCAGGCAGACAUCCUAGUCCUUCAAAAACAUCUUCAUACUCCUGCAUGAAUGAGGUUUCAUUUGUUUCAAUCUGUGAUGCCACUACAAACACCUUCCUUUUUUUUAAAAUUUUUAGCACGUGCUCAGUCCUAAAAUUGGCUGGACAUUCUUUUCCACAAUCAGCAUCUGUGACUUUACCUGCUGUCCCUUGUGUUUAAGAGUCACCAAGCAGCUCCCUUUGACAGGGACACUUGGAAAACAGGAAAACUUUCGUUUUCACUGGAUGUAUUUUGAUUUUGAGGGUUUUGUAGUCAGAAUUAGACAAGAGAUUGACUUGUGCUGCAGUAUCUAAUUUGAAGCCAAUUUUUACAUUUACGGUCAGUGGUACAAUCCAUUCAGCUUUGUCUGUUGUGCUAGUCUGUACAGAAUCAACAAAGAAUUUGUCAGGCUGCUCUUCAACUGAGACCAUUAUUAGGAGUCCCACAAACUAUUUUGUCCCUCACAAGUGAGUCUCUUAAAUCUCCAAAUUCACAAGUCUUACUCAGUCGAAAGAAAAACUUGUUCCUAUCAAAAGUGACAUUCUUACUUGGCACAAAGAAUUCCUCAAAGUUUGCCAUUAGAACAGUCAGUUAGAUUUGCGCCAUUGAGUUGAAGCUAUUACAAAUGUCCAGUGCAUCUUCACCUAUUACAUGCAAAAACAUGGAUGCCUUUAGCUUUUCAUCGCCUCUCCCUGCACCGCUAGCUGCUAGAUAGAUGUUGAAUCUUUGCUUGAAACGUUUCCAGUUAUCAGUGUAGGAGCAGCAUAGGUGAUGGUGGAUUUAAGCUCUCCAUGACGGGAAAAAAAACAAGACUGUGAGUCAGGCCUUCUCGUUCAACAUCAGUGCAUGACCUCACAAAAGCACUUCUACAGGAAUGGUCAAAAAUUCCCAUGAACACACUCCUAAACCUUGUGGAAAGCCUUCCCAGAAGAGUUGAAGCUGUUAUAGCUGCAAUGGGCAGGCCAGCUCCAUAUUAAACACUACAGACUAAGAAUGGGAUGUCAUUAAAUUUCAUGGACCUAAAAUUUCGCUAAAUUUUCUCGAUUUUUAUCUUAAAUCCAGUCCAAUAUUAUAACUUUUUAUAGUAUCUUUAUUAGCCGAUAGUAUCCCAUAAUAUUCUCAUUUCAAAUGCUUUUUAUAUCAUUAGUUAUAUUUGUUUUCCAGAACACCCGCUUAUAGCCGGUUAGCCCAUUAGCACGUUAGCCCGGCUACCACAAGUUGGCUUAUGUUUUUCACACCAAUUAUCUCUGUUGUGCUACUGCUCUUAAACACUAUGUCAGUUGUGGGUCUGCCUUUGAGUGCAGGUGAGGAUUUAUUCGAGCUGCACUCUGUGGACUUGGAGCUGGAGGCCAUGCAGAAGCAGAUCCACAACCUAUAAAUGAAGCUAGCCCAGCUGUGAGAUCGGAACGCCGCGCUGGAAUCAUCCCGGAUUGACGCUCACCUGUCCCAGGUAAAUCCGUGGCGUGAAACAAACACUCCCACAACCUCAACUCCGUGUUCUUCUCUGCCCAGGCCCAACGCACCAAGGACGCGGCCCGCCCAGGUUUCCUUCACUCCGGUCCCUGGGUACCACGCAGCCUGGAUGCAGCAGCAGCGGAAGACACGAGCCAAGCCCUGGGCGAGGACCUCUCCCCCUCCCCACCCGUUUUCGAGAUCUCAACCCGCAACCACUUCGCUCCCCUUUGCGAGACGGAGUGCGAUGUGGUGAUCAUCGGAGACUCCACACAUCCGUGCUACUGCGGCUAAAGGUAAGGUGCGCACUCGCUGUUUUCCUGGUACUCGUGUUGUUGACGUCACUGCACAGGUACAGCGAUCCUGAAUAAGAACAUCGGAGCUGUGGUCCUCCAUGCUGGCAUGAACGACAUCAGGCUGAGGCAGACGGAGAUCCUGAAGAAGGACUUCAGGAGCCGAUUCCGACUAAAAAAGCCAUCCCGAGGCAUACAGAGAUUGUGCCAGCUCCAGUGGCAUCCAGAGAUGGACCAGCUCCAGCCGGGUUCUGCUUUGUGAGGAUUCGGGUAUUCAAAGCAACACUGCCAACCUUAUGUGGACGACAACAACCUCCUUAUUAUUUUACAUAACAUUCUACACAUGCUGUAUCUGCAUCACACAAUUGACUAUACAUAAAUGCACAAAGGACAUUGUUCAUAUCACACUCUCUGGUGUUUACAAUAAUUUAUAAUCACACUCUCCACUGUCACCCAAAUGAGGAUGGGUUCCCUUUUGAGUCUGGUUCCUCUCAAGGUUUCUUCCUCAUACCAUCUAAGGGACUUUUUCCUUGCCACAGUCACCUCAGGCUUGCUCACUUGAGAUAACAUCUAGGACUGUUUGCCUGUUUAUAUGUUUGUUGUUUCUUAUGUAAAGCUGCUUUGAUGGAACGCUCUUUGUUAAAAGUGCUAUAAAAAUAAAAUUGAAUUGAUUUGAAUGUGCAUGUAAAGGCAGACGUCCCAAAACUUUUGGCUAUAAAGUCGAUAUUACUAUUUGCACAUACUGAACACUUGUAAAUAAAUUACAGUGUUUUCUCUAAGUCAACCUUUAGGGACAUAAUAAUCACAUUGGACGAAGGCGUAUUUGGAAGGAGAACUGCUGGAUGCAGGAGGAUUUGGCUGUGUGUUUGCUGGACUACGCAAAGAAGACGGAUUGCCAGUUGCAAUCAAGUACGUCUCCAAAAAGAUGCCAUAUGAAAAACUGCAGCUUACAGGAUAUGGAUGGCUGCCCAUUGAGAUAGCUUUGAAGAUCCUUGCAAACACAGAACCUUGCUCAAAAAUCCAGAAGAUUCUGGACUGGCACGAAGAGGCAAAGUGAUAUAUCGUACUCCUGGAACAGCCUGAACCAUGUGUGGACCUCGAGGAACUCUCCGGCAAGCAAGGUGGAUGUUUGACUGAGGUCGAGGCUCGCAAUGUGAUGUUUCAGCUGAUGGAAGCAUUGAAGCAUUGCAAGAGCCAGGGGAUACUGCAUCGUGAUGUCAAGCCAGAAAACAUUCUGAUUCAGACAGACACGUUUCAAGUCAAGCUGUUUGACUUGAAAGAGACCUCGUCAAAGACCCUUACAGUUACUUUGCAGGUGUCUGAUGUCUAAAUCUAAUGUAUCUUUGUUAACACUUGAAUAUGCCCCUCCUGCUCCCCGAAAGUCUGUCUCAAGGCAAGGAACUAUACUCAAUUUAAUACUUUUGAAAAAGUCAAGAACUUUGAGUCUGUAUCUUUGUCCCGCUGAACAGUAACACGUCGAAUUUCUGACUUUCAAUGUCAAAUCUAAGAAAAGCUGAAACUUGCAAUAAACAAUUGCAAAUACUGGCACAGACGUGAUAGAUGCCAGUCAGCUCCUGAUCUUUGCAAGAACGAUUACAGAGAACUUUGAUGUUCAAGAGGAGCUGUUAAAGCUUGCUUCAUUACAUGACACCACUUUUUCAGAACUGACACUGAAAAGGGAAAUUAAAAAGUUUUUGGAUUUAGGGUCUCUAGCUUAUAUAAUCAAUGAGAAAAUGAAUCUCAAAUAGCAAGCAUUCUGUUAUUUAGAAAUGAGUUUGUAUUGUGAUUUUCCUUUUGAAUUACCAAAGACCUGAGGAAUUACUGUACAAUGUCUGUUUAAUCAUUGCCUCUCAGUCCUAUGUAGACGUUGUGUUGGAAUGUAAUGUUAAGCUCCAACUCUUCUGCAUUCACGCGUCUCCUGAACAUCUCCCGAUCAGCUACCGGCUCUUUGCGUGUUCGCUCGGCCGAGGUGGAGGGUCAGCGCGCACACAGGAGCAGCAGUGGAGUGAAGUUCUGUGUUGUGUCCGAUCGUCAGUCAAGAGGAGCUGAACAUGCCUUAGAGUUCUUGUACUUGUUGGAUUCUGUAUCACAAGUCAGAGUCUGCUGUUGUGUGGACCACCUGUCUGGCAUUAAACUGACACCAAAACCAGCACAUGUUCACAUGUUCAUAAUUAUACCUGGCUGCUUGAUCUGAAAUUUUUUACAUCACUUAAGUAUGUGGUGGUGUAUUCAUCAAGUGCAAAUGACAGAAAUUUCAAGAAAAUUUUCAUGAUGUACCAAGUUUUUUUUUUUCUUUUUCCACUCUGUUUCCUUCACCUGUCUGUCUUGUCAUUGAGAACUUUGAAAGGGCUCAAAGUUGAAUGUAAUCCACCAUCUAAUUGUUCAUACUAAUUUUCAGGAUCAAAUAUAUAUAUAUAUAUAUAUAUAUAAUCAUUGUUUACAACCUGUGUCUUGUGUUGUGUACCACACAAAUGGGCAGAUUAGUGCAGUUAGUGGACAGUAAUAACCGCUUAAUAUUUUAACAUGGUGUACAGGAUUAACAUAAGUAAAGUUGUCUUUAUUUGUCACAUGUACAUUACUGCACAGUGAAAUUCAUUCUUCGCGUAUCCCAUCCUUGGGGGUUGGGGUCAGAGCACAGGGUCAGCCAUGCUGCAGCACCCCUGAUGCAGCAGGGUGGGU